GGGCGUAGGUGGGUGUUCGACCAGAGAAGAGAAAGAAGGGGGAAACCCCUUCUCAAACCCUAAUCGACCAAACUGGAUGGAUUCUGGCUGAAAUCGAACUUGCAUGAACAAGAUUCUUGAUUGUUCAACUCUGUAAAACACAUGGAAUCCCAAUUGACAUGGACUCAAGAAUGGAAGGCUAACGGAUCAAGGGUAAAUAAAGAAGCUAUGCACAACUCGGACACACGAUGUAUAUGAACACCGGGUUCUUGAAGUAUCGAAGUCGAACUCUGAAUAAGAAAAUACGAGAGGAUAGUUAAAUAAAUCAAAGUUUCAUUGUUAAAUGUUAUUCACUAUUAGAUUAUAUGAGAAUCAUGUUGUAUAACGUUGUCAAUGACUAAUGGUUAAGUUGUAUGUGA